GAUGUGGCUGUGGCCUGCACCCAGGUCGAAUGGAGAUAACCUAAUAAUACACUUAACAGGACCUGUACAGCCAUGUGAUGCUGGAAAACUAUGGGAAUCUUGUGCCUGUGGGUUUCUCUCUUUCAAACCAAAACUAAUCACCCAACUGCAGCAAGGAGCCUUUCGAAUACAACUCUUCCUCUUUUAGCCACCAGAGCAAUCAUACUAGUGAGAAACCCCAUAAAUAUAAAGAAUGUGGAAUAGUCUUCAUGAGCAGACUAUCCUACUAUCACCCCUUUCAAAUCAUCAUAAGCUCACACAGGCGAGCAACUUUACAGAUGUACUGAAUGUGGCAAAUUCCUCAAGCACUCAACAUUUAUUAAUCAUCAGAGAACUUAUUCUAGAGAGAAACUUUCAAGUCAUCAGAGAAUUCAUACAGUCAGGAACUCUACAAACACGACUGUGGGAAACUGUUCAGAAGGCAGUCGUUACUCAUCAGGAGAGAAAACACAGUGGAGAUAAGCCUUUUAAAGCUUUCAGAGAUAACUCAACUUUGUUGGAGCAUCAGAAAAACCAUCUUAGUGAAAAAGUACAUUGGUGUAAUAAAUACAGAAAAGCCUUUAGUAAGAGCUUGACUCUUAUUAGUCAUCAAAGAUUUCAUACAGGAGAGAAACUCUAUCACCAUAUUAAAUGUGAAAUCUUUUUCAGGUAUAGAAAGAUUUGCUGGGCAAAUCUCCUUUGCUGGGCAUCAGAAAACUCAUAGUGGAAAUAAACCCUAUCAGGGCAAUGACUGUAGGAAAGCCUUUACAAAGAGCUCAACUCUUAUUGGACAUCAAGGAAUUCAUACUGGGGGGAAAAAAAAACAAAAAACCAAAAACCUUUCACUAUAAGAAAUGUGGGAAAGCCUUCGGGUACAGCCAAGGCCUUGCUGAAAAUCAGAAAAUCCAUAUCUUAUGAAUGUAAUGAAUGUGGGAAGCUUUUCCCCAAAGUUCAGCCCUUAAACAACAUAAGAAAAUUUAUAACA
rnacentral:lncRNA from 1 species